GAGGGUAUAGCUCAAGUGGAAGAGCUUGUGCUUAGCAUGCACGAGGUCCUGGGUUCAAUCCCCAAUACCCCCU
rnacentral:tRNA from 1 species